GGGCAACCAGAAAGAAAGUAAAUAACACUGCUAUCACAUAUGAAGACUUACUAUUCUUUCAUCAAUCAAGUAUUUACUGAGAGCCAACCACGUGCCAGCCAUGGUUAGUCAGACUUUAGUUACACUUAGCUAAACAAAAAGUCAAGGAGAGGCAGCUCCUUUCACGAACAGUCUAGUUUCAAGGAAGAUAAUUAAAAUGCUACUACACAUUUCAUGCAUCUAUAGGUAAAUUUUUUUUCUUUACCACAUAUACAAUUUAAAAAUCCUCUAUUUUCAUUUAAUAUAAUAUUGUAAAUUCUCAUAUCCUUCCUUUCCUAGUAAACACAUGGUUAUAAGAUGGCUACUCAACAUGCAGCACCAUACCCACAUUCCAGGCAGGGAGGGAAAAGGAGGGCCAAAGAAUACAUGCCCAGUGAGCCCGCCCUGCCCCCAUCCCUACAUCUCUGAACAACUGUCUAAGAAUCAACCCGUAUCUCUAGAUGUGUAUAUAUGUAAAACCAAAAUACUCAGCAGACAAGAUAAAUUGAACCAUUUGCCAUAUUAAUAAGAAAAAUAAGGGAGUGCAAGGACGAUACUUCCAAAGAGAAAUAGUAGAUUCCAGCUUACUUGAUGGGUCUGUUAGGCGUCUGCCAAGAAAGAAAAAAAAUCACGUCCAGAAAUAAAGCAUUUCAGAAAGUAAAACACCAAAGCACUUUAAAAGGACUUUCACAUGUCACAGAGAUAUUUCCUCCUCCUCUGGAGAUGUCUCUUGGAGAAGGACAGAGAUGAGGAAGGAAACAACAAACCUUUCUUGGAGCCCAGAUGACGAGGUCAUCUUGCUCCGACUGUCCCUCCCCCACGAGAGAAGGGCUGUCAGAGGAGACGGCGGCGUCCAUCUCAAUCUCAGCGUCAUAGAGAAGAGUCAGGGUCUUUACUGUCAAGGGGCAAGCCAUCCUGUGCUCCCGCAUAUGACUAUAUGUGACACACAGUCACCGACAGUCAGUCUCCCCAAAUCCAAACACACGCCACCACUAGGCACAGUAACACCCUCAGUCACACACUCUCUCCCUCCUCUCCCCACACAGCGCUGCACAGUGACAAUCCCCACGGGGGCGCAGUCACAGAAGCACUGUCACAAAGCUCCCUAUAGCUGCACAAAUAGGAAUACACGGUCACACAGUCACAAUCACACACCCACCACAGGGACACACAGUCACAGGUAACCCACACCCACACCCAGUGUUACAGACGGUCACACGUUAACAAUCAUACCACGGGGACUCACAGUCACACCCACAUAAAGCUCCUCACAUCCGCAGACGGUAUCACACACACGCAUCACUGGGACACACAACCUCACAACCACCCCUCCUCAGCCCGUUCAUCCAGAACAGACUUAAUACUCAGUCUCCGUUCCCGCCCUGGGCUCUGGACUUUUCACCUUCGGUCACCCCGGGACCGCGUCAGCGGCCGGGCGGAACCGCUCACAGAGACCAGCACCAGGGUCCAGCCCCGCUCUGCUCAGAACCGCCCGCCUCGCUGUGGGGAAGAGGAGGGGGCGCGGCGCCCUCUGGGAAAUGUAGUUCAGCGCCCCGUUCGCGACGGACAAGAUGGCGCCCAUGUUGAGCCGGGCGAACGAGACGUCGCCACCCCACACCGCGAGCCUCGAAGCGCACGCUGGAGUCUUCUGGCAAUCCUGGCGUAGCCUCGCACCGUGGCUCCUAGUUGGUGUCAGCCUGGCGAGCUUGAACCGAGCUUGUUAUAACCCAAAGCACACCACUGUCCACUCCCAGAGGUAGUUCACAAAGUGUAACUGAGUCCCGAGACUCGGCCUACUUACACUCGUUCCCCUAUCAGGGAGACAGUCCCACAAGCUCUACCGGAGGAAAGAAAGCGCGAAAAGCUGACUCGAAACACUGAAACUGCUGGGAAAUGUAGUCCACAGUCAUAAAAGUAGAGAACCGCCCGCUGUGGACUGAUGCCGUCCGGUCUCGAGCCCAGGAUUGGCGGAGCCCAGGAGACCUCUGGGAGGGCCAGCCACCCCAAGGAGUGCGCAGGCGCACACUUUCUGGCUCAGCAUCAUCGUCUUUGUCUUCUGGCCGGUUUCCUUGUGCAUGCCCAGGAGCUGCACUUUCCUGAUCCUUCAAAACUUCUGAGCUUUUAGCCUGAGUUCUGGAAUGCUGCUUUGACUGUCGACAGGAAAGUCCAAGUCCUGUGUCACUAUUUAGAAGUUUAAAGUCACCAGUUCAAACAAGAAGAGCAAUGGAUGGUUGAGGAAGAACUGUAAAGGCGGUGUUCUCCAGAAAAGAACCCUUCCAUCAUCUGACACCUGGAACUUUUUCUCAUCCCCUUUGCACUAUGGCACUCUCAUCUACUUUGCCUGUCAUCAGUAAAUUUGGAGCCCCUUGGUUACACUUUAUCUGGAUAAUAAAUUCCUAUUUCCUUCCAUCUGGGAAAGUUGGGGGCAUCAGCUACUCCUUUUAUAAUCAUUGUUUAAGCCCCACCUUCCACUCUAACCCAAUUUCUCCAGUUAUAGAGUCUUUCUGUUGACAGCUAUGUCACAAAGUACUUUGCUUCUAGUUGCAAUCCUCAUCUGCUGGCUUUUUAUUUAAGCCACUCAGUUCUGCUGUUUAUUGACAUUUCCUUUCAAAAUUUCCUAAUACUUUUCAUCUACUGAUGUCUCCUCAACUUUUUAGUUUUUAUGAAUAUAUGCCCCCUUACUGCCAUUUUAAUGGAGUUUCAGGAAGAUGUAGAAAUAAAUAUCUCUUUAGUCACACCUCCUUUUUAAUGACCCUUCUAUUCAUUUUAUUUUUUAUCCCUUCAUCCUAGGUUCUUCCAAUUUUAUGUAUUUGUCUUUGCAUCCUGUUUGUCACUUGUUCUUUAUGUUUUCUCUUACUUAUUUAUGAAGUCUACAAGGUUACAUUUAAAUGCCAUUUAAGCUACAUGCACCCAUGAAUGUUAGUUGUAUUUGAGCUUUCUUUUAUACUGGUAGACUGGGUUUGAAAUAAAGAGUCUAUUUUACAAUAGCACAUUUGUGAAAUUUUAUUAAUAGUGGAGAAAUUCACAAGUGUUGAUGUUGAUGAUGACAACAGCUACUUUAUUGGCUGUUUACUACAUGCCAGGCACUAAAUAUUUUACAGUUAUUAACUCUUUUUAAUGAU